rnacentral:lncRNA from 1 species
AUUAUGACAUGGUUCCGGCUGGAGCUGCAGCCAUGGGAUGACCAGCUCCUGCCGACCCACGCCAGGGAGGGAGAGCAGAGGGGCAUCAACAAACACCCCAGCCUCUCCCUUCUGCCCUCCCAGGAUUGUGGCCAGUGGCACCCCUUGGCUGGAUCCAAUCAGAGGCCAGAGGGCCAGGAAGCUCCAGUAAGGGAGCCUCUAGAAGUCAGCCUUCUGGGCACAGAGCCAGCAGCAGAACACUGUCAGUAA